rnacentral:rRNA from 1 species
GUAAUACAUCGGAACGUACCCAGUAGCGGGGGAUAGCCCGGCGAAAGCCGGAUUAAUACCGCAUACGCCCUACGGGGGAAAGGGGGGGAUCGUAAGACCUCUCACUAUUGGAGCGGCCGAUGGCUGAUUAGCUAGUUGGUGGGGUAAAGGCCUACCAAGGCGACGAUCAGUAGCUGGUCUGAGAGGACGACCAGCCACACUGGGACUGAGACACGGCCCAGACUCCUACGGGAGGCAGCAGUGGGGAAUUUUGGACAAUGGGCGAAAGCCUGAUCCAGCAAUGCCGCGUGUGCGAAGAAGGCCUUCGGGUUGUAAAGCACUUUUGUCAGGGAAGAAAUCGUUCGGGCUAAUACCUCGGGCAGUUGACGGUACCUGAAGAAUAAGCACCGGCUAACUACGUGCCAGCAGCCGCGGUAAUACGUAGGGUGCAAGCGUUAAUCGGAAUUACUGGGCGUAAAGCGUGCGCAGGUGGUUCGUUAAGACAGUUGUGAAAUCCCCGGGCUUAACCUGGGAACUGCAAUUGUGACUGGCGGACUAGAGUUUGGCAGAGGGGGGUGGAAUUCCUGGUGUAGCAGUGAAAUGCGUAGAUAUCAGGAGGAACACCGAUGGCGAAGGCAGCCCCCUGGGCCAUGACUGACACUCAUGCA